GCCGGAAUGGCUCAGUGGUUGAGCAUCAACCUUCGAACCAGAAGGUCACAGUUCGAUUCCCUGUUGGGGCA
rnacentral:tRNA from 1 species